CCCAAAAGACCAGCAAGGAGGCUAAGUGAGGACUCAGGCCUGCCCUGGAUAUGUAGUGUGAGGCCUAUGGGAGUGGCAGGAAGGACCGUGCCCACGAAAGCCUCUCUGAACAGACCAGACUUUUUCCUCCCCUCAAGUCCUCCUCUAGAGGUUCCACAGAAGAAAUGAGAUAAAAGAACCGGGAUAUGGACCCAUGUCACCCGGGCAACAACCUGCGUGAUCUGUGCAGAGGCCUUACAUCCUGUGGUCCAGAGGCGGCCUUCUAUGACCUCAGCUGUGUAGAGCAACCCAGAACAGCGUUUGCAUUGCCCAGAUGUUAGAGGAGCCUGCUUCCUGCUCAGAAUGCUCCAGCGUCACUUUCAGCAGAGACAACCAGCCUCCAGGUGACCAGCAAGGCAUGCUCUCUGGUCAGUACUUUUCCAAGAUGGAUCCAUGCCUUGCAGAUGUCUAUGAGAGAAGCCAGAAAAAAAGGUAGAGCCUAAACCUUGCACCUCCCUUGAAUUUGUGGUCCUGAAGUCCUGCAACAACUGCCCUAGAGUGAAUUGUGCUCCCUAAA